rnacentral:rRNA from 1 species
CACAUGAACAUCGACAUUUCGAACGCACAUUGCGGUCCACGGAUUUAAUUCCCGGACCACGCCUGGCUGAGGGUCGUUUAUAAAUAUAAACCAGACUGCUUGCGGGUGUUGUGUAUUAUUUAUACGCAACGCACCAAGCGAUACCUGAACGUUCGCCGUUUACGCGCUUCCGAGCGUAAAAAACGGUGUCGUUUGAAAUGAUAUGCAAGUUUCGGAGGAAACUCGCUGACGGAGAAAAUACUUGAGCUUGUCUCGAAUUCUCUCUUGUAAGCGAUAGAGCCGCAUUCGACGCGCGUGUGCAGGUUCGGUUUAACCACCGUACCAUGCGAAUACACGCGAAUGCGUCGAAUGCAUUGCGUUCUCUUCCCGGAGCAUAACAACGUGUCCGUGAGCUUUCUUGCGUGUUUUUGAUACGCAAUUAAGCGGACCGAUGUUAAUAGCACUCCGAAUGGGACAGAGAGUAGGCUUUGUCGUUUCGAGAGGGAGAGACUGCUGUUUGUACUUUUCUCGCGAAGGCACCUUCCUUGUACAACGAUACUUGCUUUGGUUACAUUUCUUUUCUUUACGGAGAAUUGAAAUUAAUGAAAAAAUUUUUAUUAUACGACGACCUCAGAGUAGGCGAGAAUACCCGCUGAAUUUAAGCAUAU